rnacentral:sRNA from 1 species
CUGUGCCACGGAACUCGACUUCAAUCCUAUAACUAUCCCGAAUUUAUGUACUGGCAUAGUUACUUAUUGUUUUGUUAUUUCGAGAUAUUUAACAAUUAUAGAUUUCUCUAGUGAGAUGGCUGGAUAUGUUCUUCGCUACGAGACCCAUUGCUAUAUUUUCAGUGUAGAUUUGAACCCUGAUGAUGUCCUAUAGCACUUCUCCAGCUUCUUUACAUCGACUAAAAAUAGCUAGAAACCUAUGAAAGGCUUGAUCUCAGAGAAUCGGUAAUAUGAAAGUAACAUUUCGAAUCUCACAAAUGUACAUCGGCCUCGAGAAGUAUAAACUGCGGCCUAAAUAAACAUGUCACAAGUCUAUCAAUCCAGGAAUGAAACUUGUAUAGUUCCAGAAAAAAAGCAAACAAUGAAAGAAAGGGGGAAAAGAGAGUGAAGAUAUAAAGGAAAUGUAACCAGGCAGAAAAAUAACAAUAUCGCUAAUAUCCACAACAUAAAUUGGACAUCCUGAGCGA